rnacentral:rRNA from 1 species
GACGAACGCUGGCGGCGCGCUUAACACAUGCAAGUCGAACGGAAAGGCCUGCUUUCCCUUGUGGAUUGCGGGUACUCGAGUGGCGAACGGGUGAGUAACACGUGAGUGAUCUGCCCCCAACUUGGGUAUAAGCCUGGGAAACUGGGUCUAAUUCCCGAUAGGACUGCAGGGUGGUUCCUGUGGUGGAAAACGAUUUUCUAGUGGUAGGGGAUGAGCUCGCGGCCUAUCAGCUUGUUGGUGGGGUAAUGGCCUAGCAAGGCGGCGACGGGUAGCCGGCGUGAGAGGGUGGACGGCCACAUUGUGACUGAGACACGGCCCAGACACCUACGGGGGGCAGCAGUGGGGAAUAUUGCACAAUGGGCUGAAGCCUGAGGCAGCGACGCCGCGUCGGGGAUGACGGCCUUCGGGUUGUAAACUCCUUUCGACCGCGAGGAAGCCACCUGGUUGGAAGGGUGGUGACGGUAGUGGUAGAAGAAGCACCGGCUAACUACGUG